rnacentral:rRNA from 1 species
GGCGGCAGGCCUAACACAUGCAAGUCGAACGGUAGCACAGAGAGCUUGCUCUCGGGUGACGAGUGGCGGACGGGUGAGUAAUGUCUGGGAAACUGCCUGAUGGAGGGGGAUAACUACUGGAAACGGUAGCUAAUACCGCAUAACGUCGCAAGACCAAAGAGGGGGACCUUCGGGCCUCUUGCCAUCAGAUGUGCCCAGAUGGGAUUAGCUAGUAGGUGGGGUAAUGGCUCACCUAGGCGACGAUCCCUAGCUGGUCUGAGAGGAUGACCAGCCACACUGGAACUGAGACACGGUCCAGACUCCUACGGGAGGCAGCAGUGGGGAAUAUUGCACAAUGGGCGCAAGCCUGAUGCAGCCAUGCCGCGUGUAUGAAGAAGGCCUUCGGGUUGUAAAGUACUUUCAGCGGGGAGGAAGGUGUUGUGGUUAAUAACCGCAGCAAUUGACGUUACCCGCAGAAGAAGCACCGGCUAACUCCGUGCCAGCAGCCGCGGUAAUACGGAGGGUGCAAGCGUUAAUCGGAAUUACUGGGCGUAAAGCGCACGCAGGCGGUCUGUCAAGUCGGAUGUGAAAUCCCCGGGCUCAACCUGGGAACUGCAUUCGAAACUGGCAGGCUAGAGUCUUGUAGAGGGGGGUAGAAUUCCAGGUGUAGCGGUGAAAUGCGUAGAGAUCUGGAGGAAUACCGGUGGCGAAGGCGGCCCCCUGGACAAAGACUGACGCUCAGGUGCGAAAGCGUGGGGGGCAAACAGGAUUAGAUACCCUGGUAGUCCACGCCGUAAACGAUGUCGACUUGGAGGUUGUGCCCUUGAGGCGUGGCUUCCGGAGCUAACGCGUUAAGUCGACCGCCUGGGGAGUACGGCCGCAAGGUUAAAACUCAAAUGAAUUGACGGGGGCCCGCACAAGCGGUGGAGCAUGUGGUUUAAUUCGAUGCAACGCGAAGAACCUUACCUACUCUUGACAUCCAGAGAACUUAGCAGAGAUGCUUUGGUGCCUUCGGGAACUCUGAGACAGGUGCUGCAUGGCUGUCGUCAGCUCGUGUUGUGAAAUGUUGGGUUAAGUCCCGCAACGAGCGCAACCCUUAUCCUUUGUUGCCAGCGGUCCGGCCGGGAACUCAAAGGAGACUGCCAGUGAUAAACUGGAGGAAGGUGGGGAUGACGUCAAGUCAUCAUGGCCCUUACGAGUAGGGCUACACACGUGCUACAAUGGCGCAUACAAAGAGAAGCGAACUCGCGAGAGCAAGCGGACCUCAUAAAGUGCGUCGUAGUCCGGAUUGGAGUCUGCAACUCGACUCCAUGAAGUCGGAAUCGCUAGUAAUCGUAGAUCAGAAUGCUACGGUGAAUACGUUCCCGGGCCUUGUACACACCGCCCGUCACACCAUGGGAGUGGGUUGCAAAAGAAGUAGGUAGCUUAACCUUCGGGAGGGCGCUUACCACUUUGUGAUUCAUGACUGGGGUGAAGUCGUA